rnacentral:rRNA from 1 species
AUUUCGUGCCAGCCACCGCGGUGGUACGAUUAACCCAAAUUAACAGAAGAACGGCGUAAAGGGUGUUUAAGCAUUUAAUUUCCUAAAUAAAGUUAAAACUCAACUACGCUGUAAUACGCCCCAGUUGAUAUUAAAAUACGCAACUUACGUGACUUUACUAAUGCUGAAGACACUAAAGCUAAGACACAAACUGGGAUUAGAGACCCCACUAUGCUUAGCCGUAAACCUAGUAGUUAAAUAACAAAACUACUCGCCAGAGAACUACUAGCCACUGCUUAAAACUCAAAGGACUUGGCGGUGCCCUAGACCCUCCUAGAGGAGCCUGUUCUAUAAUCGAUAAACCACGAUACACCUCACCCCUUCUAGCUUUACAGUCUAUAUACCGCCAUCGUCAGCUCACCCCAAUAGGGCUCAAAAGUGAGCAAAAUCAUUAAACCAUAAAAACGUUAGGUCAAGGUGUAGCAUAUGAAGGGGGAAGCAAUGGGCUACAUUUUCUAUAAUAGAACAUAACGGAUUGUCUAUUGAAACAUAGACAUGAAGGAGGAUUUAGUAGUAAAUUAAGAAUAAAGAGCUUAAUUGAAAUAGCCUAAUAAGAAUACGCCAAAAAGAGGAGAAAAGUCGUAACAUGGUAAGUGUACUGGAAAGUGCACUUGGACAAUC